CCUACGGGGGGCUGCAGUGAGGAAUAUUGGUCAAUGGACGAGAGUCUGAACCAGCCAAGUAGCGUGAAGGAUGACUGCCCUAUGGGUUGUAAACUUCUUUUAUAUGGGAAUAAAACGUUCCACGUGUGGGAUUUUGUAUGUACCAUAUGAAUAAGGAUCGGCUAACUCCGUGCCAGCAGCCGCGGUAAUACGGAGGAUCCGAGCGUUAUCAGGAUUUAUUGGGUUUAAAGGGAGCGUAGGUGGAUUGUUAAGUCAGUUGUGAAAGUUUGCGGAUCAAACGUAAAAGUGCAGUUGAAACUGGCAGACUUGAGUACAGUAGAGGUGGGCGGAAUUCGUGGUGUAGCGGUGAAAUGCUUAGAUAUCACGAAGAACACCGAUUGCGAAGGCAGUUCACUGGACUGCAACUGACACUGAGGCUCGAAAGUGUGGGUAUCAAACAGGAUUAGAUACCCUUGUAGUC
rnacentral:rRNA from 1 species